rnacentral:rRNA from 1 species
UACAGAGGGUGCAAGCGUUGUUCGGAAUUACUGGGCGUAAAGGGCGCGUAGGCGGUUUGGUAAGUCAGAUGUGAAAGCCCGGGGCUCAACCCCGGAAGUGCAUUUGAAACUACCAGACUAGAGUGCAGUAGAGAAUGGCGGAAUUCCCAGUGGAGAGGUGAAAUUCGUAGAUAUGGGGAGGAACACCGGUGGCGAAGGCAGCCACCUGGACGGCAACUGACGCUGAGACGCGAAAGCGUGGGGAGCAAACAGG